rnacentral:lncRNA from 1 species
CGAGAAGUCUCUACAGUAAGCCCAGGCUACGGAAGGAGGAAACACUUGGCCCUGGCUUCACCAUAUGCUAGUAGCAUCUGCGUGGAGCCACCACAGCACUGCAGCCCCACAUAGGGGUGACCCUGAGGGACUGCACUGAAGUACCACUUCCCAGAGGCAGGAGACUGAUCUCAAGGAAAGAGGACCAACAUGCCACACAAGGCUGCACAGAGAAGCAAUGGGGUAAAUCAGAAAGCAGAGAACCGGGAGAAUCAUGGGUAAGAACCCCAAGGUUUGGAAUUCAAUAGUUUGAAUAACUGCAGUGGGCUGCGGGGCAUAGUGACAACUAGGGUACCUGGCCCUGGAGCAAUCAGGGCCUGUGUAGAGUGCCCCAGAGUGUGAGAGUCUAAUGAAGGAAGUAUUUGGGGUACAGGGUAUCAAUAGUUCAUGCUGCAUAUGAAAGGUAGGCAGCUUUCUAUCUAUAGACAACCUC